rnacentral:rRNA from 1 species
GGUCAUAGUGAUCCGGUGGUUCUGAAUGGAAGGGCCAUCGCUCAACGGAUAAAAGGUACUCCGGGGAUAACAGGCUGAUACCGCCCAAGAGUUCAUAUCGACGGCGGUGUUUGGCACCUCGAUGUCGGCUCAUCACAUCCUGGGGCUGAAGUAGGUCCCAAGGGUAUGGCUGUUCGCCAUUUAAAGUGGUACGCGAGCUGGGUUUAGAACGUCGUGAGACAGUUCGGUCCCUAUCUGCCGUGGGCGCUGGAGAACUGAGGGGGGCUGCUCCUAGUACGAGAGGACCGGAGUGGACGCAUCACUGGUGUUCGGGUUGUCAUGCCAAUGGCACUGCCCGGUAGCUAAAUGCGGAAGAGAUAAGUGCUGAAAGCAUCUAAGCACGAAACUUGCCCCGAGAUGA